CAGCCUUUGCUGCAAAGACAGAGGAUGGACCCAAAGGCUCUGUGAAAAACUCCACCCAAGCACCUUCUCAGGCAAUGAAACUUGGGCACACUCUGAAAUCCACUGGACAAAGGACUCGCAGACAAAACCAUAGUAUGACCAGGGGAAUUGAGUACAACCAGACCUGCAACUGCGGAUCCUGUCACAUGCACCCUCCCAGCAGCUCCUCUCAGCUCCAACUCCAGACAUGACACAGCAGGCGUGAGUCGUUUAAAAGCAAUCCUCUCCUACUGGAGAGGAAAAAAUAAAUGCCAGCUUAAUUCAUCUA